UUAGGAUAAAAUUAGAACGUACAGAUCACGCAAAUAAACAUUUCUCUCUCUUUCUCUCUCCCCCUCUCUCUAACCCUAACCUAAUAAUGCCGUCGACGUCGCCAGCAUUCCUGCCGGUCACCGUCAUCGCCGCCGCCCCUACCCAGUCCCGCCGUUUCCCUCGCCGUCGACGGCGAACCAUUGGAGGCGGAGUUUCUUCGUACUCAGCCACCCAACACACAGUUGACAGAAGAGCAAAUAGAGGAAAGGUGGCUUGGGAGUGUUGGUGGGCCCACUAGGUUUGGCACAGCUUACGGAAUGCCACAUCGUGCAUUUCGUCAAUACCGGUCGCCCCCGGAAGGCCUACAUUCUUCCAAUACUGAGUCGUUCGAUAGAGUGAAUGCUAUGGCCAUGGAGCAAAAGAUUGCUGAGCUAACUAGCCAGCUAUAGGCCUCGGAGGAAAGGGAGAGGCGGAUUGUCUAAGUGUUUUGUGGAUGUAUGCGAGGGGUGAAGUAGUCUAAUGUUUUACACUAACUUAGUGUAGACUAGUUUAAUGUUUGCAAAGGUUGAAGUAGUUUAAUGUUGAUGUUUGCGAUGGUUGAAGUAGCUUAAUGUCUCUUAUGAAUGUUUGAAUGUCGUUUUUAUUCAACUUUGAAGUAGUGUCGAAUUGGAUUUGAUGUGUUUGUUGAAGUAGCUUAAUAUUUUAUGUAUUUGUAGUAGUUUGGUGAAUUGUUGGCAGCUAUUUGAGCUGGUUUUAGUUGAAUAUAAAAUUAUUUUCAUCU